CUCACGAAAGUGAGCUUCCGCAAGGACACUCGUAGAGGUGCUGCAUGGCUGUCGUCAGCUCGUGUCGUGAGAUGUAGGAAAAAAAUCCCGCAACGAGCGCAACCCUUGUUUGCUGUUGCCAUCAGGUUAUGCUGGGCACUCUGCAAAGACUGCCGGUGAUAAACCGGAGGAAGGUGGGGAUGACGUCAAGUCAGCAUGGCCUUUAUGUCUGGGGCCACACACGUGCUACAAUGGCCGACACAAACCGUCGCGAUACCGCAAGGUGGAGCUAAUCGGAGAAAGUCGGUCUCAGUUCGGAUCGUAGUUCCCAUCUCGAGGUGCGUGAAGUUGGAAUCGCUAGUAAUCGCGGAUCAGCACGCCGCGGUGAAUACGUUCCCG
rnacentral:rRNA from 1 species